GCUGGUAUCUUGACAUCCAUCUGUAGCAUUUCACAGUACCACGUUGGUGCAUUGCAAACGAGUGGUUAAAUACAUAACUACGAUGAUGAAUUUAUAGGUCCGAAUAUCUUGUAUAUGAAGAGCAUGAGUGAACCUUUAGUUCAGCAAGUCUAUGAAAAUCCUGAACUCUUGGUCACAAGCUCUCAUCUGUUCAUGUGCAUGACUGCUGAAGGCAAGUGUUGUCCACGGAACUGGAUACAUUCUUCUUGCCUAUUUGCUUUUCAUGUAUUUUGACAUUUGUUCCUGGGUAUAAUGGCCACUGUAUUUCUGAAAUAUGAAAUUAACACCUUAUACAUCCAACGCAAAGUCAAUGCGCAUCCUGGUUCUAAUUUUGCGCCAACAAAAUGGACUUCAUGACAAGCACUCAAGCAGUGUGAGGAUCUAUUGCCCUCUGUUUGUUUCCUGCGCCAACAGAAUCGGAAUAGAGUUUCUAUGUGCUCUGAACGACUUCAGGGUCCAUCAGCCAAAUUUACAUUCUAAGAUUCAACUCUUAUGUCUUAUCAUCUUUGGGUGCCAAGACAGUGAUCUUAAAUUGUUUGGUUGCUCUGUAGAUACGGUGUUCAGUGGUCUGCAUCCCGCACUGUAAAUUCAUACGUACGUAAUGUAGUCCUAUGAACAUCCUGCAGAGGAAGCAAUCUUCUUAGUUCUUUCAUAUGUACGUAAAUUUACUUUUUUGUUUCAGAUGAACAUUGGAGAUGCUACUGCCCCGGACUGUAUGCUGGAUACAGAUAGUGUUGCAGCUAAACAGUCGUUUCGAGUUGAAACUUGAAAGUUAACCUUAGAACUGGCACAAGGAAUCCUAAACGCAUUAGCCAUUGACCGAGAGGACAUUUUUUACCCUUCCCGGUGACCUCCUGACACUUGCCAAUUAACGAUGAAAGAGGGGCCGUUUGUGGCCAACAUCAUAGUACACGUUUAGUGUUAUUUUUUACAAGUAGACGUGAGCUAGUUUGCUAAGUUUUGCAGGAUAAGCGGGCGACAUGUGAGCCUAUGCACGGUGGUAGAGAAGGGUGUCUUCUGUUCUAACUCGAACUCCGCAGCAAAGAUUAAGAUAACCAUUUUUCCGCGAGCUGUUCAAGAAUCAGUGUGAGUGAGUGAUGAUGCAGAAUCAAAAGGACUCACGACACGAAAUCAAAAUGAGGUAUUAUUUUUUGUGCUUUUGCACACUUCAUGCUUCAGCAGCCAAAAAGUACAGUCUAAAAUUCUGCUCUGAUCAUCUUUGGGUACUGAGACAUUGAUCUUAAAUUAUUCCACUACAGGCAAUCCUUUGUCUCUAAGUAUUUUACUGCCAGCAAUCCUUCGUCUCUAAGUAUUCCAUUGCAGGCAAUCCUUUGUCUGUGAAAAUGGUGCUCAAUGACUUGCAAUUUAUCUUGCACCAUGAAAUCUUAAGCAGUGAAAAUCAAAGUUGAACUAGACUUCCUGAGUUAAUGAAUUUCAGUUUCCUAUGCACCCAGAGAGAAAGCAUGUUUGCUGGUCUGAGUAAAUCAUAUACGAUAUGGUUAGAAUAUUUUAGACGAACAUUGGAUAAGCAAAACACUGGUAGUUCCCUUCAGCUGGCUUUCUUUUUGAGAAUUUUUAUUAUGCAAAAAUAUAUACCUGUAGUACAGGGGAUUUAUACAACAUAUUUGCUGCCAGUCCAAACUCUGAAGGCCAAUUGAGACAACAUCAUCAUCUUUUCGGCCAGCUAAAAAUGCCUUCUCUAAUUUUCCCUUAAAUCUAUUGUAUUUAUCUAAGCUUUUCAUUUGCAAACUGAGUAACAGACAUAUCGACCGAUGAAUAUGCACUUUUAUCAAAUCAAUGAAUGGAUCACUGCCAUUUUGGAGGAAACUCAUGAUAGCAAACUUGUCUUUCUGCAUUGUGAAUUCAUGCAAUCUGAACAGAGUAUCUGCAUACAUGUCUUAAGCUGGUAUCUUACAUCCAUCUGUAGCAUUUGACAAUACCAUGUUGGCGCAUUGCAAACACGCGGUUAAAUACAUAACUAUAACGGCGAAUUUCCUGGACCGUAUUUCUCGUAUAUGAUGAGCAUGAGUUGAACUCUAGUUCAGCGAAAUCUUGAGCUCUUGGCUCUAAGUUCUGAUUUGCUCCUCUUGCCUAUUUGCUUUUCAGUUAAUGGGCAUUUUGUCCUGGGUAUAAAGGUCGACACAUUUCUGAAAUAUGCAACUGGCAUCUUAUGCAUGCUGACACAGGUUCAAUGUGCACCCAGGUUCUAAUUUUGUGCCAACAAGAUGGACUUCAUAACAAGCACCGAUAAGCGGGCGACGUGUGAGCCUAGGCAUGGCCCGGAAAGCACGGUCAAGGUCCACUUGUGCCUCUCCGACGGCAUGCAUCACGACGGUGGUAAAGAAGAGAAGGGUCUCUUCUAACACUGAUCCCGCAACCGAGGUAAAGAUAACCAUUUUUCCGCGAGCUGUUCAAGAACCACAGUGCGAGUAACGAUGCAGAAUCAAAAUUACUCGUGACACGAAAUCAAAAUGUGUUACGGUAUUAUUUCUGUACUUCCACACACAUCGCACAUGGUUGGUUGUAUCCUUGAGGGCAUGGUACAUCUAUCUUCAGGCUUCAUCAGCCAAAAAGUAUAGUCUAAAAUUCUGCUCUGUUCAUAUUUGGGUGAUGAGUCAUUGAUCUUAAAUUAUUCCACUGCAGGCAAUCCUUUAUCCCUAAGUAUUCCCCUGGAUGCAAUACUUCGUCUCUUAAGUAUUCCAUUGCAGGCAAUACUUCGUCCGUAAGUAUGGUGCUAAAACAGUCAUCCUCCAUGAUUCAACCCUUAUCAAGUUAUCAUCUUUGUGUUCAUUGGAUUCUAUCAACAUCCUGCAGAGGAAAUAAUCGCUGCCUCUGAGUUUCUUGCAGACACGAUGUGCUUGCAUCUGCACGUGUCUUGGAUCAACACUGGAGUGGAGAUGCUACCACCCCGGACUGUACGUCGGGUACAGUAAUGCAGCGAAACGGAAAUUAACCUUGGAACUGGCGCAAGGAAUCCUAUGUUGACGCCUUUCAGCCUUUGCCAUUUGUUGAGACGGCAUUCUUGGCCAACAUCAUGGUACAUGUUUAGUGUUAAUCAACGGUGAUAACGGGGUGAGCCUAAUUCGUCUUUUUUGAUCGAAGUUGUUCGUAUAGACGGACAUACACUCACCUAUGUGAGCACACGCACGUACAUAUACACUAUUCCUGAGUUUAAUCAAAGUUGCCACAGACGCCUUCAUGAUCGACGGAAACGGAAACGUCUUUUCCCUGAAGGCACAUCGUCGGAAGGCCUACAAUAAAUUCAGAAAAAUAUAAACAUCAAUGUAAAUGUUGGACUUGAACUCUGGUGGGCAAGAAAUAUUAAUCUUUUUAACCACCCAA